UGGUUAUUGUGUAGACUAACAAUAUGACAUUAUAUAAAAGUAGAAAACCACCUGAAGUGAUCGCUGGCAGCCCCGUCUCCCUCCCUGCGUGUGAGCCGCAAUCAAGUCUAUAUUUGCGGUAGGGGGGUAAAUGGGCGGCCCCUCCUCAAGUGGUACAACCCCGGUGAGCCGUGGACUGUAAUAUGUCAGCUAAUUACCGAUAACAUGUACUCUACUUCGGGCGAGAUGGAGGGCAGAGAAAAGAGAAAGGUGGAGCAGAGAAGAAUUAAAAAGAAAAAAGUGAAGGAGAAGGAAUUCUGAACAUCCAAAGACCCGACAGCCUCAGACCUGAGUCAGCCCAGUGAUCCAGAUGAGGCAGCGCUAAUAGGAGGGAGCAGGGAAAACACAGCUGCAGGUCUGGCUGAGUCAAUCUGACAGUGAAGGUUGAGAGCGCCCUCUGCUGGACCAAAAGCUCAACUACUUUAAACACUCUGCUGUGUUAAUACGCUGUAACUUUUAAGGUAAGUUAGAAUAUUUGAUUUCUUCCCAUGUUCAAAUGAAUGUUUGACUAUAAAGUGACAACAUUACUGAACAGUGAGUAAAUUAAACUGAAAUUGUAAAAGUGUGGAGGAACAAAAUAAGUUUUAGAAAAGUAAGGUGGAGAUGCCAAACCCAGUAAAUAUUUGGCGUCCGACAGAACAUGGAGCUUAAAUUCUUUUUUUUAAUUAAUAUAAAUUAUGGUAAUGUUUCAAUAUUUUAAUAUUUCAGUUUUCAGUUUGAAAGCCUUUGCAUACUGUAAACUACUUUGGAG